rnacentral:lncRNA from 1 species
UCCAACCUUCCAGCAUGUGAGUUGCACUACUCCUUUUCAUGACCUUUACUUUGCAUGCAACUCCAUGAGGUUGCAAAAUGCACUGGAUGGUACUCCUUCUGUUUUCAUAUAAUUAUUGCCAUUAGCUUUAUUUUUCAAACUCAUUAAACAUGGAAUACCUCAAGGGAAAAAUAUUAAAGUAUUUUGAAUGAUAAAUGUUAUAGUAUUAUUCUUUCCUACUAACUAAAAAAAUUAAAAUACUACUUGUCAAAUGUUGAAUAGUAUAGUCAUGCUCAUUGCUGUUAAAAAAGGCUGGGCCAGUACUUGAAUUAAGAAAAUCAGAUCAGAUAAUGCUCAACAUGAGUGUCUCCAUAUGAGAAAUUAUUUGGUGAAAAAUCUUUUGGUGAAUAUGAUGGAUAAGAUUUUCAUUGUGGAUAUUUAGUAUCUCAGAUUGAAUAACCUUAUCACUUGAUCACACAAGCAUAUUCAAAAGCACUCUCAUGUGGCCAUCAUUGAUGCCCCAAUCAUCAAAACCAAGCAGAGAAUUUUGAGACCACCUGAUCAGGUAGCAAGUUCCAGCUUAGCUGCUUAGGAUAGAUAUGUCAGGAAGAAGCAGCCAGUAUCUUUCUAGAUGAUUUUGAUUUCAUCCAGAUCCAGUUCACGCAGCAAACAAAGUCUUCCAUAUGCACCGUAUGUGGCAUCGACAAAAAAUAAGUAUCCCACCUGCCAUUCUUAUGGACCACUGGACAUGCCUCCCUUCUUUAGCGUUAUUUGGCUGCUUGGAGCCUGCUUACUUAGUGAACUGUUUGGGGAGCUCCUUGCUAAGGGUGCAAGGGGAUUCUCUUCCUAUUCCUCGACUAAAUCCUUUCUGCUGAUCUGUUAAAAAAAAAUAGUAUCUAUUUCCGUUUGCCUUUCCUAGAAGGUUGUUCAAAUGUUUGUAGAGAUAUUCUUCUUGUCAUGGUCUUUUUGUUUCUGUACUCUUUUUAAUGGGAUUUUUUUUUUCAGUCCACAGCUUAUAUGUAUUGAGCUGAAAGAGAAAUUCAUUUUGUUCAUUGAAAUGUGGAAGUAAUAUUCGUACAAUGAAUAUUUGAAAUCCCCUAGGGGGAAAGGGCCGUAAUAAAUAUAACUCCUCCAUUCCAAAUUUAAGGCAUUUUAGUUUUGUCCUAGGUGAACAUCUCUAACUCUGACCAAGUUAUAGAAAAAUGCACUAACAUCUAAAACAUCAAUUUAAUUUCAUUGAAAUCCACCAUGAAAUAUGUAUUGAUAGUGCAUUAAUUGGGUACUCCAUCCCAUUAAACAAGGCGCAACUGCUUUGUACGCAAAGACCAAGGAAGCUCAUGUAACUUGUGAGAUGGAUGCUGCAGAACUAGAGGCUUUAAACAACCAAAGGAAACCAAAGAAUAGCUAGUGCAUGCAUGCGCAUGAACAGAAAUUACAGGAGUCAAGAAGGUGCAGCUGCCGUUGCUGCCCUAUAUUCUGGGACUUUUGAAAAAAGCAGUUGCGUCUGGUAUAAUGGGAUGGAGAGAGUAGUGUAGAUGUUAAUAUAGGGCCAAUUUGGAUUGCUACCUACCAAAAUUUUGGUAGGGUAGCAAACCAAACACCUCUAUUAAAACACUACCUUUGUCAUAAAUUUGGCUUUGCCCAUGAACUUGUGUCUUAUGGGUAUAUUUUAGCUUCAAUCCUAAUCAACAUUUUCAACUCUUUACCCUACAACAUUUUGGUAGGGUAUUAAUACAAACACAGGCCCAUAUUUUUCUAUAAACUUGGUCAAGGUUUGAGAAGUUUGACUUAUAACAAAACUAAAAUGUCUUAUAGUAGUAUGGAAUGGAGGGAGUACAUGACUCUAGGUUAAACUAUUCGUUGAUGAUUGCAGUUUUGAGAAUUAUAACACAUUUCUCCAUUUGUAGUUUUGUACCAUAAAUUCCCUCUGCCUUUUGCAGCUAUGACUAUUAUGUGAAAUAUUGCAGGUUCUUUUGUUGUGCGCAUAAAAACAUGAGCUGCAGAUUUUAUGCCUGCUUGUUCGAUCAAGCGGUUUGAACAUUAAAGAGUGCAAGCACGCAAUAGCCUGGGAAAUACGCCUUGUAGCUGCUCCUUUUUCUUUCUCUUUGUUCUUAGAGGCACCUCUUUACUUACUGACUUCAUCAUACCUUCCUUUGUGCACAUCUUAAGAUUGGGUGUAAUUUUGUGAUUCGUGUGAACAAGAGAAGACAAAAUGUAAUAUUUCUCCUGAGAUACUGGCUAGAGCCAUGUAAUUUUGUUGUCUAGCAGUGGAGAAUGUUUUAUCUUGUAUGUGAUGCCCGCGCACAGUCACGAUUUACCUGUUUUUAUGGUUUCAUUUUUAUGGUUUCAUCGAUUUACCCUGUUUAGGGGUGUUUGGUUUGUAACUUGGACGUUGUGGAAACAAUAGAUCAUAGCUGAUAGUUUUGUUGUUUGUAGAGCUAUCCGUUUCGUAAAGAUAAUGUACCGCAUGGGCUUACCAAUCCUGCGAGCCAAUUUUUUUUUUAAGUGUAACCAUUAGCUAGUACACAAGCUCCUUUUAACGGGGCUUUUAACUAUUUGCCACUCUUACGAAUGGUGCUUAAUGAUUUUCCACUAGACCCAUAUGUCAUAGACACAUGAGGACCUACGUGUCAUUGAUAGGGUGUGGCAAAUCGUUAAUUGCCAUGUCAUAAGAGUGGCAAAUAGUUAAAUUUCCUCCUUUGAACAUGAGUACAAUGGCCAGACCACGUUGACGAGGGUAUCUUUAGUUUAUGCCUCCUUGAACGCAUGAAUUUUAUAGCAAGGAUUUUCAUUUGAAUUAGUUCAAUUUUCUUAAAAUUCCUCUAAUCCCACUGUAGAAUCAAGAUGUUGAUUUAAUAUACAAUUGUUAAAGGUGGGUGUUUAUUUGAAAAUACGAUGAGUAGUGAUUUCAGACUACGAUGCGUGAUCGGACUGGGAGGCCAGUCAGACUGUAGGGGUGUGAUCGGUCUGACCUAGCAAACUCCGGAAGAGAGUUGGUUUUACCGGAGUUUUUAUGCGGUCUAACUGGUGACAUGGAGGUGGUCCAAUUGGCGGUCAGAUCGGCGAUGUGCAGGGAGUCAGACCGGCGAGAGUACUGCGGUCAAACCAACAGCGAUCUAAUAGUGUGAUCGGCGCAACUUCGUCAAGUUUAGGGUAAUAUUUUAAUUCCAAAAAAGAUUGGAAUUAUUUCUCCAUAAAAAGAUCUAAUACUGUGCUUUGGUGUUCCUACCAUUCAUCUCUCUGGUAGGGUUGGUUCUUAUAUUCGAUCCUACACUCACAUCCUGAAGGAGGCCUUGGUAAGUAUCUUAAUGAUCCUUAUAAUGAAUUACUAAUUCUAUAGUUUAAAUAUACGGAAUUAUUUAAAUUAGUAUAAAUUAGGUUUAAAGAAUAUCAUAAUUCUUAACGAUUUGUCUUAAUCUGAAAAAUUAUGUACGUACCAUUUAUUAUAACUUGUUUCGUUAUUAAAUGUAAUUUAAAUAUCCUAAUCUUAACUAAUUAAAAGAUUCGUAAUUUUCCAACCGUCACCGUCCAUUUUUUGUUUGUCACUUUCGCGUUCACCCGUUAGGGGUUGCACCAGUCGCUCCACCUAAUCGUUACUUUGCAUCCUCAGAAUCGGACAAUGGAAACCAAGUCAUAACAAAAGAAUCAGCAUAAGAAUCCAACCUUACACAAGCACCUUUUAAAAUCAGUGUUUCACAGCUUCAAUACAAUCAAAUCGGAUGCAUAACAAAACAAGGGAAAAACAAGAACUCAAGAUAAAAAGCAAAUCCAAAAAUUCCCUAAAAAUAGCCUAAUCUUUGAACCUGUGGAGGCAGUGACAAGAGACAGGUGGAGAGGAGGGGGGAGGUGACCCCUGGCCGCCGCACGACCGAGCCCCGCGCUGCCGCAUAGCCCCACCAUGCCAUGCCAACCUCCGCAUCGCACCGAGCCGCCGCACGACCUUGUCCUCGCCGUCGCCCGGCCGCGACGCCCACGGCUGGCCGCAGUGCCUCACUAGUCUCUGCACCCGCCGCGCCGCCACCGGCCGCCUGAUCGGCCAGUACACCCGCCGGCGCCAUCAGGGGAGGAAGGGGAAAGAAAAGGAAAGACAAGCGAGAAGGAAAGAAAAGAAGGUAAAGAAAGAAUCUCUAGAGGAUUUGCAAAAAGGCCCC